UGGGAGAGCGCCUGCUUUGCAAGCAGGAUGUCAGCGGUUCGAUCCCGCUCGGCUCCACCAAUUGCGAAUUUAUAGUUUUUUUGUUCUAGGGGAUUUUUUUUUUAGAGCAAUAGUUUUUUGAAAAUUGAAUAGAAGGUAGAUUUUUUUGUAUUUUUUAUAUUGGCAUUGUAUGCGAUAUAGGAGGUACCGACGUUGUAUAACCGCACGUUGAAGAUUUAUCUCAGGAAAUUGGUCUAUUGAAAGAGCAUAAUUUAUUUAUGUUUUUUUAAUUAAGAAACGUUUGUAAUGAAUUUUAUGACGUAUUGACAAUGAGAGUGAUCAAGCGCGAUAAGGGCAUUUGGUGGAUGCCUUGGCAUGCACAGGCGAUGAAGGACGUAAUACGCUGCGAUAAGCUACGGGGAGCUGCAAAUGAGCAUUGAUCCGUAGAUUUCCGAAUGGGGCAACCCACCUUAGAUGUCUAGGAAAGUAUACUAUUAAGGUUUAAUUUUCUAGGUAUUUGAAGGUAUCUUUACCUGAAUAAAAUAGGGUAAAAGAAGCGAACGCAGGGAACUGAAACAUCUAAGUACCUGUAGGAAAGGACAUCAAUUGAGACUCCGUUAGUAGUGGCGAGCGAACGCGGAUCAGGCCAGUGGUAGGGAAGAUUUAAGUAGAAUUAUCUGGGAAGGUAAGCCAUAGAAGGUGAUAGCCCCGUACACGUAAUAAUUUUUUCUAUCCUUGAGUAGGGCGGGACACGUGAAAUCCUGUUUGAAGAUGGGGCGACCACGCUCCAAGC
rnacentral:sRNA from 1 species